rnacentral:tRNA from 1 species
GUAGCUUAGCCAGGUAGAGCGACGGACUUUUAAUCCGUUGGCCGGGGGUUCAAAUCCCC